GAUCCUGGCUCAGAAUCAACGCUGGCGGCGCGCUUAACACAUGCAAGUCGAGCGAGAAAGGGGAGCAAUCCCUGAGUAAAGCGGCGCACGGGUGAGUAACACGUGGGGAAUCUACCUCUGGGUGGGGAAUAACUCUGGGAAACCGGAGCUAAUACCGCAUAAGCCUGAGAAGGGAAAGUCGAAAGACGCCGGGAGAGGACCCCGCGGCCGAUUAGCUAGUUGGUGAGGUAACGGCUCACCAAGGCAAAGAUCGGUAGCCGGCCUGAGAGGGCACACGGCCACACUGGCACUGAAACACGGGCCAGACUCCUACGGGAGGCAGCAGUGGGGAAUCUUGCACAAUGGGGGAAACCCUGAUGCAGCGACGCCGCGUGAGCGAUGAAGCCCUUCGGGGCGUAAAGCUCUUUCGGCCCGAACGAUAAUGACGGUACGGGAAGAAGAAGCUGCGGCUAACUACGUGCCAGCAGCCGCGGUAAUACGUAGGCAGCAAGCGUUGUUCGGAGUUACUGGGCGUAAAGAGUGCGUAGGCGGUGUCGAAAGUUUGGCGUGAAAUCUCCCGGCUUAACUGGGAGGGUGCGCCGAAAACUGCGAUGCUGGAGUGUGGGAAAGGCAAGCGGAAUUCCUGGUGUAGCGGUGAAAUGCGUAGAUAUCAGGAGGAACACCGGCGGUGUAGACGGCUUGCUAGACCAU
rnacentral:rRNA from 1 species